rnacentral:rRNA from 1 species
CCAGACUCCUACGGGAGGCAGCAGUCGGGAAUAUUGCGCAAUGGAGGAAACUCUGACGCAGUGACGCCGCGUAUAGGAAGAAGGUUUUCGGAUUGUAAACUAUUGUCGUUAGGGAAGAUAAAAGACAGUACCUAAGGAGGAAGCUCCGGCUAACUACGUGCCAGCAGCCGCGGUAAUACGUAGGGAGCGAGCGUUGUCCGGAUUUACUGGGUGUAAAGGGUGCGCAGGCGGCUCUGCAAGUCAGGCGUGAAAGCUAGGGGCUCAACCCCUAAAUUGCGCUUGAAACUGUGGAGCUUGAGUGAAGUAGAGGCAGGCGGAAUUCCCGGUGUAGCGGUGAAAUGCGUAGAGAUCGGGAGGAACACCAGUGGCGAAGGCGGCCUGCUGGGCUUUAACUGACGCUCAGGCACGAAAGCAUGGGUAGCAAACAGGAUUAGAUACCCCCGUAU